rnacentral:lncRNA from 1 species
GGUGAGUGAAAAGAGAAGAAGAGGGUCUUCUUCUAGGGUUGCUAUGUUCACCUCUUUCCUUCAUCUAUGAUUUUUCUGAGAGUGUCUUACAUCUAAAACUCCUUCUCCUACUUCUCAUCUUUGGAAGAGUCCAAAUCAAGAAGAAGGAGGUAUCUGAUCAACCAUCGAAGAAGGAUCAGCACAGUACUAGCAUACUGUGCUGAUUUUCUGGA